GACGAACGCUGGCGGCACGCUUAACACAUGCAAGUCGAACGGAGUUUAAGUAGUUGCUAUUUAAACUUAGUGGCGGACGGGUGAGUAACACGUGAGCAAUCUGCCUUUCAGAGGGGGAUAGCAGUUGGAAACGACUGAUAAUACCGCAUAACAUAGCAUUACCGCAUGAUAAAGCUAUCAAAGAUUUAUCGCUGAAAGAUGAGCUCGCGUCUGAUUAGGUAGUUGGUGAGGUAACGGCCCACCAAGCCGACGAUCAGUAGCCGGACUGAGAGGUUGAACGGCCACAUUGGGACUGAGACACGGCCCAGACUCC
rnacentral:rRNA from 1 species